AAGGAUUAAGGUCCUCUGGAUUGUAAACUUCUUUUAUUUGGGACGAAAAAGGGCCUUUCUAGGUCAACUGACGGUACCAGAUGAAUAAGCACCGGCUAACUCCGUGCCAGCAGCCGCGGUAAUACGGAGGGUGCAAGCGUUAUCCGGAUUCACUGGGUUUAAAGGGUGCGUAGGCGGGUAGGUAAGUCAGUGGUGAAAUCCUAGAGCUCAACUCUAGAACUGCCAUUGAUACUAUUUAUCUUGAAUAUUGUGGAGGUAAGCGGAAUAUGUCAUGUAGCGGUGAAAUGCUUAGAUAUGACAUAGAACACCUAUUGCGAAGGCAGCUUUCUACGCAUAUAUUGACGCU
rnacentral:rRNA from 1 species